rnacentral:RNase_P_RNA from 2 species
UUGGAAUGCCGGACGGCCGCGCUGGAUCGCAAGGUCCGGUGAGGAAAGUCCGAACACCCUUUGGGCCGCAAGGUUCAUUGAAAAGGAGCGUCGCUAACGGCGACCAGGCAUACCGGUGGGGAUCGAACGCGUUGGAGAAAUUCACGCGUUUGCCUCUCAUCGCAAACCUAGGGAAAGUGCCACAGAGACUAUACUAUCCCCCGUCGCUCCUUAGGGAGCUAUGGGGGAGAAAGGUGAAAAGUUCGCGGAGGUCCGCAAGGGCUACCGCGUUCACCCCAUGGCGACAUGGGUGUGUGGAAAACCCGCUCCGGUGCAAGAGCAAGUUUGGUAGCUCGCUAGAAUCCCGCAGCAAUGCGGGAACCAGAGAGAUGGCCGUCUCCUUCCCGCAAGGGAUGACAGACAAAAUUCGGCUUACAGGCAUCUCCAAGGAC